CAAAUAUUUGAGCCUUAUUGUUCUCUCUGUCAACACAUACAUCUUGGCCUUCUUCAUACUUUUGCUCUUCUUUUCAUAAUAACUUAAGCAAGUCACGAAUGUUCAUUGGAUUUCCUCUUUAUUGGUUUCGUUCUUUGGAGCUAAGCUCGAACCUCGUGUCACCGAUCGGCGGAGUUCUUCCUGGAGCAUCAUCUUUUACUAAAUCCCGAGUGCCUCGUCCUAGUUUUAGAUAAAGCUCGUGCUCCCAUGCAACUGGAGUUUGGAGCCCUAUGCUGCACGGCAGGUGUUCGAUAAAUUUACUUAUGUUACCCCCCACCAAAAAAAAAAAACUUUCUUCAUGUACCUCCUGUGACUAUGACGUUGGCAUCGCCCACCGGGCCACCCAACCCGCCGCAGCAGCUGGACCUCACGCUUGGAGAUCCUGGACGCUUCUUAACAACACGUGGCGCCCGGGUCCCCCGCUUCCUCCUCCUCGAGAGUUUCGCGCGCGCCACGCGAGACGAAUAUCCUCCUCCCCUCUCCCGGCAUCCGAUCUCCCUCCUCUCCCCUCUCACAUCGUACUCAACUCUUAGUGAGCGAGACCGCCUUGGCGGCUCCAACCCUGAGAGUGGAGGGCGUCCUCCGCCCUUGAAGCGUGCGCUUCCUCCACUCCCCCACCGAUCGCGGCGGCGCCAAAGCUAGCAGUAGCUCUUCGGGCUUCUCCUCUUCCUCCUAAGCUCUUCUCUUCCCCGUCUCCGUGUCGGCGGGCGUUGCGGCAGUCUCCGUCAGGGCUUCUUCCACCCCCUCCACCGACGAAGGACUAACGAUCAAAUCGGUCCCCACCAAGCCAAUCGAAGGUCAGAAGACCGGGACAAGCGGCCUCAGAAACAAGGUUAUGGUUUUUCAGCAGGAGAACUAUCUUGCGAACUGGAUUCAGGUAAUGACGAUUGAUUACGGUGAAUUCGGCAAUUUGGAAGUUGACGAUAGGAUCGAUGGUUUUUUUAAAUGGCAAAGGCGCUAUUUAAUUCUUUGCCGCCGGAGGACUACGAGGGUGGUGUGUUGGUCUUGGGAGGUGACGGUCGCUUAUUUAAUCGAGAGGCUGCUUAAUUAUAUUUGCCAUUUGCUUGAAAUGCUGGUUGUUUGUCGGAAGCUGUCAAUCUUUAAUCAUUCCUCAGUACCUGGACCUUUGCUUGAAUCCUAAAUUCCUGUUUUUUGGUUUCUGAUUGUAGGUUUCUUUUGGUUGUGUUUGAUGCAUUGCUAAGAAUAAUUUGAAU